rnacentral:rRNA from 13 species
CUCAGAAUGGUUGGAAAUCAUUCAUAGAGUGUAAAGGCAUAAGGGAGCUUGACUGCGAGACUUACAAGUCGAGCAGGGACGAAAGUCGGGACUAGUGAUCCGGCACCUACUUGUGGAUGUGGUGUCGCUCAACGGAUAAAAGGUACCUCGGGGAUAACAGGCUGAUCUUGCCCAAGAGUCCAUAUCGACGGGAUGGUUUGGCACCUCGAUGUCGGCUCGUCGCAUCCUGGGGCUGGAGUCGGUCCCAAGGGUUGGGCUGUUCGCCCAUUAAAGCGG